ACAAGGUCUCCGUUGGUGAACCAGCGGAGGGAUCAUUACCGAGUUUACAACUCCCAAACCCAAUGUGAACCAUACCAAACUGUUGCCUCGGCGGGGUCACGCCCCGGGUGCGUCGCAGCCCCGGAACCAGGCGCCCGCCGGAGGGACCAACCAAACUCUUUCUGUAGUCCCCUCGCGGACGUUAUUUCUUACAGCUCUGAGCAAAAAUUCAAAAUGAAUCAAAACUUUCAACAACGGAUCUCUUGGUUCUGGCAUCGAUGAAGAACGCAGCGAAAUGCGAUAAGUAAUGUGAAUUGCAGAAUUCAGUGAAUCAUCGAAUCUUUGAACGCACAUUGCGCCCGCCAGUAUUCUGGCGGGCAUGCCUGUCCGAGCGUCAUUUCAACCCUCGAACCCCUCCGGGGGGUCGGCGUUGGGGAUCGGGAACCCCUAAGACGGGAUCCCGGCCCCGAAAUACAGUGGCGGUCUCGCCGCAGCCUCUCCUGCGCAGUAGUUUGCACAACUCGCACCGGGAGCGCGGCGCGUCCACGUCCGUAAAACACCCAACUUCUGAAAUGUUGACCUCGGAUCAGGUAGGAAUACCCGCUGAACUUAAGCAUAU
rnacentral:rRNA from 1 species